rnacentral:hammerhead_ribozyme from 1 species
CUACUGAUGAAGAGUCUCAAGCACUAAGACGAAACAGCUGUCCAGUAC